rnacentral:rRNA from 1 species
AUUGAACGCUAACGGCAUGCUUAACACAUGCAAGUCGAACGGCAGCACAGCAGUAGCAAUACUGUGGGUGGCGAGUGGCGGACGGGUGAGUAAUGUAUAGGAAUCAGCCUUGUAGUGGGGGAUAACCUGGGGAAACUCGGGCUAAUACCGCAUAAUCUUUACGAAGCAAAGCGGGGGAUCGUAAGACCUUGCGCUAUAAGAUGAGCCUAUAUUGGAUUAGCUAGUUGGUGGGGUAAAGGCCUACCAAGGCGACGAUCCAUAGCUGGUCUGAGAGGACGAUCAGCCACACUGGGACCGAGACACGGCCCAGACUCCUACGGGAGGCAGCAGUGGGGAAUAUUGGACAAUGGGGGAAACCCUGAUCCAGCAAUGCCGUGUGUGUGAAGAAGGCCUUCGGGUUGUAAAGCACUUUUAGUGGGAAAGAAAAGCUCAAAGCUAAUAACUUUGAGCCUUGACGUUACCCACAGAAAAAGCACUGGCUAACUCUGUGCCAGCCGCCGCGGUAA